rnacentral:rRNA from 1 species
UACAGAGGGUGCGAGCGUUGUUCGGAAUUAUUGGGCGUAAAGGGCGCGUAGGCGGUGCGGUAAGUCACCUGUGAAAUCUCCUGGCUUAACUGGGAGCCUGCAGGCGAAACUACCGUGCUGGAGUGUGGGAGAGGUGCGUGGAAUUCCCGGUGUAGCGGUAAAAUGCGUAGAUAUCGGGAGGAACACCUGUGGCGAAAGCGGCGCACUGGACCAUAACUGACGCUGAGGCGCGAAAGCUAGGGGAGCAAACAGG